UACCAGCCCCCCGAGUGGUCGGGACGUUUAUUGGGCCUAAAGCCUCCGUAGCCGGUUCUACAAGUCUUCCGUUAAAUCCACCUGCUUAACAGAUGGGCUGCGGAAGAUACUAUGGAGCUAGGAGGCGGGAGAGGCAAGCGGUACUCGAUGGGUAGGGGUAAAAUCCGUUGAUCCAUUGAAGACCACCAGUGGCGAAGGCGGCUUGCCAGAACGCGCUCGACGGUGAGGGAUGAAAGCGUGGGGAGCAAACAGG
rnacentral:rRNA from 1 species